CCUGGUUGAUCCUGCCAGUAGUCAUACGCUCGUCUCAAAGAUUAAGCCAUGCAUGUCUAAGUAAAAAUAACUCUUUACUGUGAAACUGCGAACGGCUCAUUAUAUCAGUUAUAGUUUACUUGAUAGUACCUUACUACUUGGAUACCCGUAGUAAUUCUAGAGCUAAUACAUGCAUCAACGCCCAAUCGGGCCGCGUUUAUUAGAUAGAAACCCAUAUUUUUGGUGAAUCAUAAUAACUGUGCGAAUCGCAUGGGUUUACCCCGGCGAUGAAUCAAUCAAGUUUCUGCCCUAUCAGCUUUCGAUGGUAGGGUAUUGGCCUACCAUGGCGUUAACGGGUAACGGAGAAUUAGGGUUCGAUUCCGGAGAGGGAGCCUGAGAAACGGCUACCACAUCCAAGGAAGGCAGCAGGCGCGUAAAUUACCCAAUCCUGACACAGGGAGGUAGUGACAAUAAAUAACAAUGCCGGGCCUUUACAGGUCUGGCAAUUGGAAUGAGAACAAUUUAAAUCCCUUAACGAGGAUCAAUUGGAGGGCAAGUCUGGUGCCAGCAGCCGCGGUAAUUCCAGCUCCAAUAGCGUAUAUUAAAGUUGUUGCAGUUAAAAAGCUCGUAGUUGGAUUUCUGGUGGGAGCGGCCGGUCCGCCGCAAGGUGUGUACUUGGUUGUCUCCUGUCAUCCUUGUGGGAACUGCUCUGGCAUUAAGUUGUCGGGGUUAGGGAACACAUCGUUUACUGUGAAAAAAUUAGAGUGUUUAAAGCAGGCUUAUGCCGUUGAAUACAUUAGCAUGGAAUAAUAAGAUAGGACUUUGGCGUCUAUUUUGUUGGUUUGCACACCAAGGUAAUGAUUAAUAGGGAUAGUUGGGGGUAUUCGUAUUUAAUUGUCAGAGGUGAAAUUCUUGGAUUUAUGAAAGACGAACUUCUGCGAAAGCAUUUACCAAAGAUGUUUUCAUUAAUCAAGAACGAAAGUUAGGGGAUCGAAGAUGAUUAGAUACCAUCGUAGUCUUAACCAUAAACUAUGCCGACUAGGGAUUGGCGGUCGUUCAUUUAUGACUCCGUCAGCACCUUAUGAGAAAUCAAAGUCUUUGGGUUCCGGGGGGAGUAUGGUCGCAAGGCUGAAACUUAAAGGAAUUGACGGAAGGGCACCACCAGGAGUGGAGCCUGCGGCUU
rnacentral:rRNA from 1 species